rnacentral:rRNA from 1 species
CGAGUCGAGUAGUUUGGGAAUGCUGCUCAAAAUGGGAGGUAUAUGUCUUCUAAAGCUAAAUAUUGGCCAGAGACCGAUAGCGCACAAGUAGAGUGAUCGAAAGAUGAAAAGCACUUUGAAAAGAGGGUUAAAAAGUACGUGAAAUUGUUGAAAGGGAAGCGCCUAUGACCAGACUUGGGCCCGGUGAAUCACCCAGCGUUCUCGCUGGGGCACUUUGCCGGGCACAGGCCAGCAUCAGUUUGGCGCGGGGGAGAAAGGCUUCGGGAAUGUGGCUCCCUCGGGAGUGUUAUAGCCCGCUGCGUAAUACCCUGCGCCGGACUGAGGUACGCGCAUUGCAAGGAUGCUGGCGUAAUGGUCAUCAGCGACCCGUCUUGAAACACGGACCAAGGAGUCGUCUUCGUAUGCGAGUGUUCGGGUGUCAAACCCCUACGCGUAAUGAAAGUGAACGCAGGUGAGAGCUUCGGCGCAUCAUCGACCGAUCCUGAUGUUCUCGGAUGGAUUUGAGUAAGAGC